AUAGCGCCAUGUGUUCCGGAAAAUUGCCCAGCGGGGUUCAGACUGUUACCAAACCAAGCAAUUAGUACAAAUUGUUAUUCCUAUAGUGGUUCUGCUGCUUCUAAUAAUAGAGCGUGGAGUCUAGCUCUGGCGCAAUGUAUCAUGACACCAGGUGCCUACCUGUGGAGACCAAACAGUGAACUAGAAGCCUCUUCUGUUAGAAAUGAAUUUAAUUUUCCAAAUAAUCAAUUUGUGUGGACCGGUGCAAAUGACAUAGACAUGGAUGGGAUCUUCACAUUUGAAAUAGAAAAUGGUCCAUUUGCAAUCAAUGCUGUA